UGGGCCUAAAUGGACUCGAACCAUCGACCUCACGCUUAUCAGGCGUGCGCUCUAACCAGCUGAGCUAUAGGCCC
rnacentral:tRNA from 2 species